rnacentral:rRNA from 1 species
AGCGGCGGACGGGUGAGUAAUGCCUAGGAAAUUGCCUUGAUGUGGGGGAUAACCAUUGGAAACGAUGGCUAAUACCGCAUAAUGCCUACGGGCCAAAGAGGGGGANCUUCGGACCUCUCGCGUCAAGAUAUGCCUAGGUGGGAUUAGCUAGUUGGUGAGGUAAUGGCUCACCAAGGCGACGAUCCCUAGCUGGUCUGAGAGGAUGAUCAGCCACACUGGAACUGAGACACGGUCCAGACUCCUACGGGAGGCAGCAGUGGGGAAUAUUGCACAAUGGGCGAAAGCCUGAUGCAGCCAUGCCGCGUGUAUGAAGAAGGCCUUCGGGUUGUAAAGUACUUUCAGUUGUGAGGAAGGGNGNNNNGUUAAUANCGGNAUCUCUUGACGUUAGCAACAGAAGAAGCACCGGCUAACUCCGUGCCAGCAGCCGCGGUAAUACGGAGGGUGCGAGCGUUAAUCGGAAUUACUGGGCGUAAAGCGCAUGCAGGUGGUUCAUUAAGUCAGAUGUGAAAGCCCGGGGCUCAACCUCGGAACUGCAUUUGAAACUGGUGAACUAGAGUGCUGUAGAGGGGGGUAGAAUUUCAGGUGUAGCGGUGAAAUGCGUAGAGAUCUGAAGGAAUACCAGUGGCGAAGGCGGCCCCC